CGAACGACUCUCGGCAACGGAUAUCUCGGCUCUCGCAUCGAUGAAGAACGUAGCGAAAUGCGAUACCUGGUGUGAAUUGCAGAAUCCCGCGAACCAUCGAGUCUUUGAACGCAAGUUGCGCCCGAGGCCAUCCGGUCGAGGGCACGCCUGCCUGGGCGUCACGC
rnacentral:rRNA from 5 species